ACAUUUCACAUUCAUGCUUUUGGCAGACACUUAAAGACUUACAAAGCAACUUACAGUGCAUUGAAGGUAUAUAUUUUUGUCAGUUUGUAUGUUCCCUGGGAUUUGGUCCCAUGAUAUUAGCAGUGCUAGCAGUUGAGCCAACGGGACAGAAUUUAGAUUCACUCCUCUCUGGAAAAAUGCUAUAUUUUUCUUCACCUUUUACCAUCCAUCUUAUAUAAUGUCAGUCAUUUCUUCUUUUCUUUACUCUCGGUUGGUUCAUUUUUCCUAAUAACCUGUCAUGUUUAAACCGGUCACCAUCUUUUUGCUCUUGCUUUGCAGUGGCAGAGUUUACAGACCAGCCGAGUGAACUGAAAGGCUACUCUGUUCACACUCAUCUGGUUAAGGGUUCACGGGGUUUCGGCUUCAAUAUAGUGGGAGGCAGCAGGCGGAGGGAGUUCCUGCAGAUCUACAGCAUCACUCCCGGAGGACCUUCCACCCUUCACACAGCGGAUAUUCUGGUGUACAUCAAUGAUACCUGUGUGCUCGGCUUUUCUCACAAAGAGGUAGUGGAAAUGUUGAAAGCCAUUCCGGUGGGUCACACUGUGGACGUUGUUGUCCGAAGAGGCUACCCCAUGCUCUAUAACUCUGACGGCUGUCCGAAGAUGCCCAAUCCUAGGCUAACGGCAUCCCUAGAUCAGUCACUACAUCUACCUCCACCAACCACCACCCAACCCCAGGCCCAGGCUCCUCUCCCAUACGCUCAGCUACACCUCAACCACAACGGGCCCAUGUGGUCUGAUUUUGAGAGGGGAUCCUCAAGGAAUCUCGGAGUACGGGCAUCAAGGUUCAGUUUGGAUGCUAAUGGUAAUUCAUCUCCAUUUGGUUCUCCUUCAAGACAGCCAUACCAGUACUCUAAUGGGUAUGGGAGUGGAUUCCUGAGACCACCACGCUCUACCAAAAGCAUCAGGAGGCUACAGAGUGCAGAACUGGCCAGCCAGAGUGACAGCGAGGUGGUGUCUGCGAUCGGAUCCCAUAGGGCCUCGUUUAUCCGUAACCAAAACAACAACUCUCUGUCCACUCCGCCACCUCUCCGCCUGCACUCCUUCAAAUCUUCUGAGAGUGACCUUUCCUCGAGUACUCCACCACCCAUAUCUCGAUUUCCCCUGCCCCACACUGAAGUAAGUCCAGGCCCUAUCUCUUACUCUCCUGGAGGAGGAAGGCGCUACUCUCAUCUCCAUAAACCCCAGCAUUCACUGCUAACCCCACCUAGCAGCGCCCAUUCUGACGGGCCUUACUUCACCUUCAAUGGCACAGCCAGUGCCAGCAGCGGCAGCCCGAACAGCAGCAUUCCUUCGCCGGGAGCCAGGAGUGCUGUGAACGGGAGUGGAGUUGGAGGAAUGGCUGGUAGUGGGGAAUUAGUCCCAGUUGCUUUGGCUAAAUGUGAGAGGGGCAGCAAUAUGGGGUUCAGUGUCACGGCAGGAGGUCACGGAGGAAGACAGACCCUCGUGAAGAAAGUCUGGGACCACAGACAGUGUAUCGGACUGCAGCCUGGAGAUGCCAUUGUGAAGAUCAAUGGAGCAGAUGUUCAGAGUCUCAGCUUUGCACAGGUAGGGAUGAAGAGAAUGGUAUUCAGCUUAAGAUUUUGUUAUGGUGUACUUUUAUUAUUAUUGUAUAUUUAUUUGGUGUACUUUGGUUCAAGGUCCAAAGGAUUUUGCAAGAACACACUAAAAAGGGGGAGGUUAUUCUGCUGGUGUACAGAGGGGGUAAGUUACAUGUUCACCCAUUUCAUAAUACAGUGUCCACAUUUAAAAUAUGGGAUUUUCUCCAUUUAUACCUGUAAAUAAACUUAAAGCUAGAAAUUUUAAGGAAUUUAUAAGAUUGUGAAAUGUACAAUAAAUAUUUCAGAUUCUGCACUAUUUGAUCAAUUAAGCAGAUUUGUUACUUUGACCAUAUGAUCAUUUUGAAAUCUUCUGAAAUAAUGCUUCAUAUCACAAAAUACAGUAGCGUAGUAGACCUAAUUAUUCAGCUACAGCUAUGCACAGUUAAAAGAUGUGGCAGUUUUAUUUCUAAUAAGAAUAUUUAUUAUUGUCGGGCACUUUAAACAUUGUAAAUACUGUUUUUCACAUACAGGUAAAUAAAAAACUUAAAUGAUUAAAUUAUAAUGUACUGCACCUAAAGUUAAAUAUAAACUGCACUGUACUUAAAUGUAAAGUAAAAAAAUAUACAGCACUUGAUCAAAAAAAUUAACACAGGCAUCAUUUAUCCACCUUGCAAACUUUUUAAAAGUGUUUUAACAUUAAUUUAUAUUUAAUUCAGUGAUUCCUCUGCGUACCACUACAGGGAGCCUGCAUACCACACUUUGAGAGUCAGUGGAUUAGAAGAAAAAUAAUCCUUAAAAUCUUACCCAAACAUCUUAUAUAGUGAGAAAUAUUUGAUGUUUAAUGAUAUAUGAUGCCUGAUGUUUGACUCUGAG
rnacentral:lncRNA from 12 species